UCCGACCUCUUUAUCCUGCAGACAUAUCUGUUAAAGGAUCCUUUGGGGGCUGUGAUGACACUCUCCCUGUGAGGACAUCAUGUCUCUCGUUCUUUCUGCUUGCUAGACUCUUGGGAAUCCUGCUGCCAAGGGCAGGUCAUCUGGGCCCCGCCCUGCUCAGAGGCCUGUUGACUUGGGCUCUCCGUUCAGGUGCGGGCGUGCCCAGGUGUGCAGAGAGCCAGUGAUGCAAUGCUUCACUGAACUCAACGCAACAAAAAAGCAACGAACCAGCAUAACAGCAAACCAACGCACGAGACCUCCUGACGCAAACCAAGAAAAAAAACCCUAACUUUAUACUCGUAUCUCUCUCUCAAAGCCUGAAAUUUAAACAAGUGACUUAUGAGUAUUCUCCAGUGCCCCUUUUUUUCUGUGGGGAGCUCUGGUUGUCUGCGUUGCUUGGUUCGGUUGGUCUGAGGUUCAACUGAGAAAACCUACAGCCUCAGACAGAAGGCAGAACGCAACAUUUCCAUCAAAAAAAUGUAAAAAACAAAAUAAAAACAGAAAAAUCCAUGUAACAGAC